CAGGGCUCUAAAAUAUUUCAGUUUCAAACUACACCUGGAGUCGAUAGGUUUGUCUUAAUUUCUGAUAAAUCGCAACCAAACUUAGUCCUUUAGGUGUGAGCCAUCAUGUGCUGCCAAAGCCGCUACUACCGGGAGACACCCUGUGUCCAGUGCUGCCUAGUCGAUUGCAGCUACUGCUGCUAUCGAACACAAUGCGCGGGUCCCUGUGGCCCCUGCAGGACUGCGGCGCCUUGCUGCUGCGGAGCUGUCGGCGAUCUCAACUACAAAUACUCCUUCUUUGGACUGCAUUUACUCUAGGCGGAAAUCGAUGUAAUUCCUUUGUCUCCCCUCCUAGCAGCGGCAGCAGCAGCACUUGACUCAUCGACCUUGACCUUAGACUAACUGCGACUCCCGAAAUUUGUUCUGCAAAAUUAUCAGUUGAAAAUAUAUGUCAAAACAUCCAGCCCAGUCGGUAUUGCUCGUCUAGGAGCUGCUCUGAGCGCUUUAAACAGCAGAUAUUGCCAUUCAUUUCUUAGUAAAUCUCUAGAUCGCACGGCGUAUAAGUUAAACAGGAAAAAAGUCAACACAAGUUA
rnacentral:sRNA from 1 species